UACAGAGGGUGCAAGCGUUAAUCGGAAUUACUGGGCGUAAAGCGUGCGCAGGCGGUUAUGUAAGACAGUUGUGAAAUCCCCGGGCUCAACUGGGAACUGCAUCUGUGACUGCAUAGCUAGAGUACGGUAGAGGGGGAUGGAAUUCCGCGUGUAGCAGUGAAAUGCGUAGAUAUGCGGAGGAACACCGAUGGCGAAGGCACUCUGCUGGGCCGACACUGACACUGAGAGACGAAAAGCUAGGGGAGCGAAUGGG
rnacentral:rRNA from 1 species